rnacentral:rRNA from 1 species
AUACGGAGGGUGCAAGCGUUACUCGGAAUCACUGGGCGUAAAGCGCGCGCAGGCGGCCAUUUAAGUUGGAUGUGAAAGCCUACGGCUCAACCGUAGAACUGCAUCCAAAACUAUUUGGCUAGAGUGUGGGAGAGGAAGAUGGAAUUAGUUGUGUAGGGGUAAAAUCCGUAGAGAUAACUAGGAAUACCAAAAGCGAAGGCAAUCUUCUGGAACAUUACUGACGCUGAGGCGCGAAAGCGUGGGGAGCAAACAGGAUUAGAAACCCUUGUAGUCC